rnacentral:rRNA from 1 species
AAACCAGCACCUCAAGUGGUCAGGAGGAUUAUUGGGCCUAAAGCAUCCGUAGCCGGCUCUGUAAGUUUUCGGUUAAAUCUGUAUGCUCAACAUACAGGCUGCCGGGAAUACUGCAGAGCUAGGGAGUGGGAGAGGUAGGCGGUACUCGGGAGGAAGGGGUAAAAUCCUUUGAUCUCUCGAUGACCACCUGUGGCGAAGGCGGUCUACCAGAACACGUCCGACGGUGAGGGAUGAAAGCUGGGGGAGCAAACCGGAUUAGAAACCCGAGUAGUCC